GCACUGCUGAGGAAUCCCACAACAGGACGAAACGGCCGUUCAGUAC
rnacentral:hammerhead_ribozyme from 1 species